rnacentral:rRNA from 1 species
UACGGGGGGGCAAGCGUUGUUCGGAAUUACUGGGCGUAAAGGGCUCGUAGGUGGCCAACUAAGUCAGACGUGAAAUCCCUCGGCUUAACCGGGGAACUGCGUCUGAUACUGGAUGGCUUGAGAUUGGGAGAGGGAUGCGGAAUUCCAGGUGUAGCGGUGAAAUGCGUAGAUAUCUGGAGGAACACCGGUGGCGAAGGCGGCAUCCUGGACCAACACUGACGCUGAGGAGCGAAAGCCAGGGGAGCAAACGGG